rnacentral:rRNA from 1 species
AUUCCAGCUCCAAUAGCGUACAUUUAAGUUGUUGCAGUUAAAAAGCUCGUAGUUGGACUUUGGGACGGGUCGGUCGGUCCGCCUCGCGGUGUGCACCGGUCGUCCCAUCCCUUCUGUCGGCGAUGCGUGCCUGGCCUUAACUGGCCGGGUCGUGCCUCCGGCGCUGUUACUUUGAAGAAAUUAGAGUGCUCAAAGCAAGCCCACGCUCUGGAUACAUUAGCAUGGGAUAACAUCACAGGAUUUCGGUCCUAUUGUGUUGGCCUUCGGGAUCGGAGUAAUGAUCAAGAGGGACAGUCGGGGGCAUUCGUAUUUCAUAGUCAGAGGUGAAAUUCUUGGAUUUAUGAAAGACGAACCACUGCGAAAGCAUUUGCCAAGGAUGUUUUCAUUA